rnacentral:lncRNA from 10 species
UCACCAGGCUGGAGUGCAGUGGCGCGAUCUUGGCUCACUGCAACCUCUGCCUUCCGGUUCAAGCGAUUCUCCUGCCUCAGCCUCCCGGGUAGCUAGGACUACAGGUGUGAGCCACCGUGCCCGGCCUCCACUUAUGUUUUUAAAGGUGUUGCUAUAUCUAUAUAUUUUAAAUUUGCAUAUCAUAUCUCUAGAUUCUAGAGAUAAAAUUCCUGUAGAACAGGGGUUGCAAACAUUUUCUGUAAAGAGACAAUAAAUAUGUUAGGCUUUGUGGGCCAUGUGGUCUCUGUAGAAACUACUUAUCUCUGCCAUGGUAAGUGUGAAAACUCCCAUAGGCAAUAUGUAAACAAAUAGGCAUGGCUGUGUUCCAGUACAAUUUUUCUUUCCAAAGACAAGUAAGCCAGAUUUGCCCCUGGGGUAGUUUUUUUGCCAGCCUUUUUUCUAGAGUUGUAAUGAAUAUGAAUCA